CAUGGCCUACGGGAGGCAGCAGUUGGGAAUAUUGGACAAUGGAGGAAACUCUGAUCCAGUGACGCCGCGUGAAGGAAGAAGGUCUUCGGAUUGUAAACUUAUUUUAUCAGGGAAGAAAAAAAUGACUGUACCUGAAGAAGAAGCACCGGCUAACUACGUGCCAGCAGCCGCGGUAAUACGUAGGGUGCAAGCGUUAUCCGGAUUUACUGGGUGUAAAGGGAGCGUAGACGGCUUUGCAAGUCUGAAGUGAAAGCCCAGGGCUCAACCUUGGGCCUGCUUUGGAAACUGUAGAGCUUGAGUACCGG
rnacentral:rRNA from 1 species